UACGUUAGGGUAUGAUCUGGUAUGGGUAACGCAAAUUUACAGAGCAUGGUAUCCAAUGGUUAGUUGUUUUAGGCCACCCGUUCAGUCGAGAUGUCAAGUAUUUCGGUCCAGAUGGAAAAAAACGUUCAAUUUACUGUUGUAGAUGUUCGUCAUGCGUUCGAAGAGGCGUAGACGAAAAGCCAAGGAGAAAUUGGCAUAACAAUUUUGGCUCAGACUGUUACACCGGCAUUUCUUCACCUUAGCUGCUAAAGACUAUGUUGAGCAGCUGAAGGUCAUCAGCAAAGGGACAUCGUGUCACUCGUUACUUCCGUCGUUUGUCCGAAAACGUCUGGUCAGCUCCGAUGAACUGUGAAAAAUUUGGUGAAAAUUGUUCGCGUCAGCCAUUCUGACGUCGAUCUCGGUAUCGCCUUGGGUCUCGAUGAUUCGUUCAAAUUCAGCUGCGCAGAUUGGGCUCUUCUCGUUGAAGAUGUCGAUGAAACUGUCGUAAUUCUGGAAAUGGAAACCUGUCCGUAUAGCAAGGUCAUUUUAGAAUAAAAUCAGUCGCUCACCUAUGCAGUUACGUGGUCCAGCGCUGAACGGAAUGAAAGCAUACGGAUGCCGGCCAAUGCUGUUUUCUGGGAAAAAUCGUUCCGGCUUAAAUGCUUCGGGAUCCGGAUAAACACAAGGAUUGUGAUGGAUUGCAUAAAAUGACGGAACAACUGUAACCCCGGCUGGUGUUGUACCUAUUUCAACGUCUUCCGUUAGACUUCGCAUGACGAACGGCACGCUCGGAUAGAGUCUCAUCGUUUCUUUGAUGCAACAUUCCAAAUAUUUGAGUUCAGAAAUAUCCUGGGUAGUACAAGGACGAUCCUGAUCGCCACCAAAAACUGAAUCCAACUCGUCAACUAUCAGUUGCUUCGUCAUGAAUCGAAAAUUGAAUGAAACAGUUUGACAAUUUGAAGUUCGUAAUUGAUGCAUUACCUGAUGCUUCGGAUGUUUAGCAAUGAGGUCAGCGCCCUUAUUGGACGCCUGUAUCAGCCAGUCUACUAUGGCAAAUCUGCUCUCUAAAGAAAAUCCAGUUUCGUUUGCUGGCCCAUCGCAGUUUCUGUAUGGUAUUCGAAAUGUUUACGACCUCAGAAGUUAUGACGUCGAUGAAACUGUGCAAAAAAAAUGUAUAACCUGGAGUAACUAAUCGGCGUCGAUUUUUCCAGUGAGCACCUGGAGAAUGAUAAAAUUUCAAACAAAGCCAUUUGGACAGAGAGACCAGUAAUUACCAACAAGGAAGGUGCGCAGUUGGCAGGAAGCUAAUGAACAUACCUGUACCAGCUCCGGGGAUGAAAGGGUCACGAAAGGACGUGUGCACAGCCAUACACGACAUCCAAAUCGAGAAGGUUACCCAAUAGCGGCAACGGCUUCCGUCCAGGUAUGGCGUUGAUGAGUUUGACGGUUCUAGAUCGACUCCAUUUCAAAAAGUUAACGCCAAUAUAAGAGGAUGACGUGUCUUCAAAAUUCAGCCCGUCCAUGGUGAACGGACGAUGUGAACUAAUCUUCGAUCUGUCUACGGCCUUCACUUAUAAGCAGUGUCACAGGUAAGGCAGGAAAAGCAUCUAUCCACUUGAUUGAGCUUCCUGGUGUUGUGUCUAGGUUUAAAAGAAAAACAUUAUAGAUACGCGAAAGUUCUUAUCUGUGUCAAAGGGUCAAGUUUUCCGUUUGACGGGAAUUCGGAGAAAUUUUCGCUAAAACAAAUUCAUUUUCGAAUAAAAACUCGAAUGCAGUAGUCUGCACUAACAGAUCAAUCGAAUUACAGCCUUGAGUUGAGUCAGUUGUACAAAACGUAAUAGAAACAAUUUUCAUAGUUUUCUGGACGGGUUGUGACAAUAAAAAAAAAAAUUCUUAGACGUGAAAAUUGAACGAGGUUAUUGUUAAAUUAAGGUAUAGAAAUUCAUAGUCGAACUUGGGGAUGACAUUAGCAUGCGAGAGAAAGUAGAGACUAUAAGGAUUUCCUUGUUUGGAAUUCAAAAACAUCACGUAGACACCCCAACAUUUACGGUGUUCUUCUCUUGUUGUUUGAAGACUUUUUCAUUACUAAUGUCCGAUAGAUGAACAUCACGACUUGCAAAGUAGGACACGCUUGACGAGCAGGAACGUCCCACUUUGAAAGCCCGUUUCAAACAUCGCAAUGAAAUUAAACAAAAUGUGUAAAAUAAGUUGGAGUUUUGUUUGUCAUUUGAACGUUUGAAUUCACUUUCAAUCGAUGCAAAGAGCACUUUUUGUCCCUGAAUGCGUGAUUGAAGGUCUCGAGUCUCUUUACCCAUUUGAAAACUAGACACGUAUGUGGUACAAGUUCAAGACCGUGACUCGUAAAACCAGUCUGUCCGUUAAGUGUAUAAAGCCGUAGUGUGAUUAAAAGGCUAUUCAUCACUCAAUUAAAGAGUUUGCCAAGUUCUAGCAAAGAUUCUAUUAAAUUUCACUGUAAUUUGGCAAGGCAUUUCCAUCUUUUGAGAGCAAACGAAAGUCGAAAAUUUGAAUUUUCACGAGUAACAAACUAACUUUAUUCAAAAGACGUUUUAACUCUAAUAGUCAGAAUUCAUGAUUGGGCUUACUGUCUGCUUGAAAUGUUGAUUCAUUUACCUGCAAUGUUGUGUGAGACGUAAUCCGGAUAACUGACACCAACAAGGUAUGGUCUUAACUCAGUUAUAUAGCUCGUUACAGGAAAUCGGGCGUGGCGUUUUCAGACAUUCUUGCCAACAGCUACAAGGAAAGUUACAUCAUAGUAACGAAAGUAGCCAUAAAAUAAUGUGGCAUCUAUUUCGUACAUGUCAUCAAAUGAUUUGCCAGUGAAAAGUGAUUGACUUGCUUAUUUAACUAGCCAUAAAUUUUAUAUGGCUGUGUGAUAUCUAAUACACUUGGUCAAGAUAAAUAGCUUACGGUAUAGUGCAUUUGAUUACUGCACGUAUUCUUUUGGUUUGUACCUCUUGAUUAAUUAGUUUACGUAUUGCGCAGUUUCUUUUUUCCCCCAAAAUUUAAGUGAAAUGUCUUUAGCUGUAGUGAAGUGUUAUGCAAAGAAAUUCAUGAUGAGAGAGUAAUGGAUUAUGUUUGUAUGCAAAUUUUUGUUUUCAAAAACAGAAAUUUGUUUUGUUGACUCAUCGCUUGAUUGACAGCAGUUUUCGUACCCAACCCCAAUGCACAAAAGAAAAUCGUCAAAAGUUUGUUUUUUACUAAUCCUUUGUCUUCGUCCUUGGGGUGUUGUAGAGGGAAGGGUAUCUAAAAAACAAAAUGUUUUUUACGAGGGGAAAGGUAAGGGAAAAAAGGUCGAAUAUUCAUCAGACUAUUUAAUGAGGCUCAGAGAUUGCCCACAGGCUUACACAAUUCGUACCCAUCCUCUUACUUUAGGGUAUGAUCAGAGAUGUAUAUGGACAGACCAUGUUUUUCGUCAUUAGUUGUUGGUCAUGCGCUUGGUCGAGAUGUUGUAUGUAAAAUUUCUAAUGCAGGUGGUGGAGGAAGAAAGAUCCAUUCUAAAGGUGUUCUGAAAACCAAUGGCGAUGCAGUGUGUUUAUCCAGAUCCCCGAAGCAUUCAAACCGAAACGAUUCAUUUCAACGAUUCGGCGACAACAGCAGUGGACGGUUACAUUCUGUUGGGCCUACGUGAUUGUACAGGUGAAAAACUGUUUUUCUAGCGCAGAAGUUUGUUAAUUUGUUUAAAAACCAAUUAAGUUAAAGAAUGCUCGAAAUAGUUUUCGACAACCUCGGGUUCGGUUUUCCGUUUUUGUUCCAAUAAUAUCUGAUGUACCAGAUUUAGGAUUCAUUUUGAAGCAGGUGGGCUCGUCUCGUUUUUCUAAAUGGUUAAAUAAGACAUAACAUAUUUCUAACUGAUGUGGAUUUCUUGUCAAGUCACUUUUGUUCAAAUUAGAAAUUCAUGAUUUCGUUUACUAGUAUGGUACAUUUACAUGGUUAGAACAGUGAAAAGAAUGGAUUCGUUAACUUUAAUUCAACAAAGUGCAACGAGGAAUAAAUCAGGUGGGUAAAACUCGUAAGAAUGUGGUAUAUAACUCGUUCAAUUUUGAUCAACGAAGUAACUGAUAAUGGGCGAAUCAGAUUCAGUAUUCGGUGAAGAUCAGGAUCGUACUUGUACUACCCUGGAUGUGUCUGAACCCAAUCGUUUGGCAAUGUUUAAUCAAAGUGAUUGUGGUACUGGGAUAGAGACGGACUACGUUGGCAUAGGUGGAUAUGUAAUACCGGCUGGUGUUUCUGUAUGUUAAGCAACUCGCCUCAAUCCGGAUCCUGAAUCAUUGAAGCUGGAACGGUUUUCCUGGGGAGUGGCAUUGGCCGCCAUCUAUAUGACUUCAUUCCGUUCAGCGCUGGUCCAAGUAAUUGUUUUUAUUCUAGAAAAGAUUGUUGUGUUUUGAAUUGAAGUUCAAAGUAUGCCAUGCUUGAAUUGAAAGUAGUGUUUGCUAACAUUUCACGUCGUGUGUAGUUUUCCGUCUCUGGCCUAACAAUAUAAGACGCAUUUGUGGUA